AAGCAAUUACAAUUGAUGAACAUUUGAUUUCACUGUUACAUUAUUUUCUAUGGGCGUACAAUAGAGUAACAUUAGAUUUCAUUGUUAUCAAUAUAUUUCACACCGAACUCCAUGACACUCAGAUGAGUUGCAUUGACUGAUUUUGGGUAGCACUCACGCAUUUAAGUGUUCUGAUUUUUAAGCGUGUUUGUUGUGAUCGCAGCGGCAGCAGAAAAAAAAGUAGCAACCUCCGCGUAGUUAUCGUCUUCCCGGGGGCCUUUCAUCGAACCUGCACUGACGCCGCAGGGGAUCCCUUGCAGUGGGAUCCGGUGGACCAGUGAUGAACGUUACCCGGUGGUAUCGCACUUCCAUGGGCCGAAACAGGAUUGUUUCCCGUUGGAAGCAAAGGAGGUGCAGUGGUGCAGUGAUGGCGGGGCUUGACAGGACGGAAAGUUUGGUGGGGAUGGUGGCUGUUCGUGUUCCGGAGAAGUUGGCGAAUUUUCGAGCAAAGCAAUGGAAGCUUCUGUAAGGGCAUAGUAGUGUUUCCAGCGGGGGAGCUGCAGGUGAAACGAACCGCAAUGUCAUUGCACGAAGCAAGGACGUGAAGCCAAUGCAGGAGCAGUUAACCCAGAACUUGUUCGAUCACAUCCUGAGGUGACAUCGACGGGAAUCUUUCCGAUGAAAUAGAAUUAGAAUUAGCAUUGUUUGACUCAUUUAUACCAAACUCUUGGUGAAGCUUGUUACUGAAAUUGAAUUAUUGUUUUGUAUUUGGCCACUUUGCUAGGUCUUCUUAUAUAGGUUCGCUCUUUCAGCCUGGAAAGCAUGCAUGCUGUUGAGUCCAAUUUAAUAGUUUUCUCAUGAGACAACUAUUAAAUUUGACUCAAUUGUAUGGUUGUUCUCCAAGCUGCAGUUUAUUUAAUGUCUAGAAGUGCUAGAAUAAUGGUUAGGCACGCUGUAAUGCUACCUUUGUACCUCAUCACCCACUAAAUGCAACUACAUUAGUGGUCUAAUAACACUUAGCGCGCUUCGGCACGGUUCCAUCAUGCCGCUUAUAGUGUUGCCACAUAUAAUGCUUAGUUUGCUAAACCCAGUUAUCUGGCUGGUGGGACAUGGGAGCCCAAGCUUAAACCAUUAAUGCAAUUAGACGUUUCUUGAACAAUAAAAUGAGCGAUUCGAGUAUUUGAAGAACUAUUCAAACUACAUAGAAGCUUGUGUAUAGUCAACAUUUAACGAACUUAAUCUAUGUAAUAUUUUGCAUUUUAAACCAUUCGAACGAUCUUCAAGUAUAGGUUCAAGUUGUAGUAUAUCGAGUAUAUUUAAGUUCUAGAAUAAUGGCGAGGCACGCUGUAAUGCUACUUUUGUACCUCAUCACCCACUAAAUGCAACUACAUUAGUGGUCUAAUAACACUAGCGCGCUUCGGCACGGUUCCAACAUGCCGC